GACGAACCGUGCGAACGUUGUUCGGAAUCACUGGGCUUAAAGGGCGCGUAGGCGGCCCGCCAAGUCAGGGGUGAAAGCCCCCAGCUCAACUGGGGAAGGGCCUUUGAUACUGGCGGGCUCGAGCGGGAUAGGGGCGGACGGAACUUCCGGUGGAGCGGUGAAAUGCGUUGAUAUCGGAAGGAACGCCGGUGGCGAAAGCGGCCCGCUGGGUCCCUCCUGACGCUGAGGCGCGAAAGCCAGGGGAGCAAACGGG
rnacentral:rRNA from 1 species